AACAAUCUAAGAUAAACUUCAGACACAUGUUUCAACCAGCCUGUUCUCAGUUCAUUGCAGUGAAAAUCAACAAAUCUUAAUCUAUAGAAUUAAACUCGUCCUCGUAUAAUCAUUGUCAUUGAGUGUCAAUUAACCUGUUUGUUGUCGCGUUAUUCCCGUUUUUUCAUAGUAGUCUACAGGAAAUAGAAUAGUGAUUGAGGUUCGAAAAUGAAAAGUGAAACCAUGAAAUAUCAAGACUCACUAAUCGUCAUUCGUUUUAAAUGUCACUAUGUUGAAACAGUUUUGAAAUUAUGUGUCAUAAAGAUCGAGAAAUCAAACACCUAUAAAUAAAAAGAAAGCGGAGAUUCGACGGGAGGUCAUAGUACAGUAAUUAUGAUAAAAAUGUGGAUAUUUGUGACGUUUGUAAUUACAUAUUUUUACGAAAGCGAAUCUGUAUUCCAAGCUCGAAGUAACAUACUGGGAACGAAGAGUUGCAAGAAUAGUUCAGUGUACUAGAACUAUAGAACUAUAGAACGAGUACGAGUACUUAUUACUGAAACGCUCGUUAAGCACAGUAUGGGAUUGUGUUGUGAGGAGAUAAAACAAAGAAUUUGGUCAUGGAACAUUCCUCACAACAGAUGAUGGAGACCGAAUAUUUUGAGACAUCGUGGAAAUCAAGAGCGCGGAUUUUACGCAGACGUCUCGUUCAUUUAAUUAGGGCAGCUACGACCAAGUGUCGGAGAAAGACUGGCUACUCCAGAUUUUUGACUGAUGAUGAAAAAAGGUGGUUGUCGGCAGUCGAAUAUGAUUUGUCCACCAGAGUUGGCAUACCCUUUACCCCUUGUUGAAAUAUUCAUCACUCGAAGAGCAGAAAAAUAUCAAGAGUCAUGAUGUGCAAAAGUGAAUACAUAUGCGAAAUAUUUUAUACCACAAUGUGGAAAAAAUGUAUAAUUAAUGAGAAGUGGUGCGAACGAAUAAAUCGUUGAAAAUUAAUGCAAAUAUUAUCUAUCAUUAAUCAGAAAAUUAAAAAAAAAUAAUAUUAGUAAAGAUUCAAAUAACUAAUACAAAUUUAUUAAAAAAACUGUAUAGUUUCAUGUUUCAUUAUAAUUAAUGUUUUUUUGCUUCAUCCAAAUGAUGAAGAUCAUAUAGUAGGAACUAUUAAUGACUGUUCCAAAGAAGAUUCAAGAAUUACGAAAUCUUAAGUUUUGGUUACUUUUACUGAAAAUUCAUAUUUAUUUACACGCAUAUUUGAUUCAGAAAUAAGACAAUUGAAGAAAUAACUCACAGAAACCCCAGAAUAUGGCUUGUAUUGGUACAUCAAAUAUUUUAAUGUCAUCUCUCUUCGACUCUACAAGAAACACCUUCAAUCUUCGAACAUUUACAGUCGUCUUGGACGCAAAGACCUUUGAAAGUAACGAACUCUCUUGUGUUUAAGCAGAGAGAAUUUGACAUGAUCAACAGCGCGGUAUGAAUGCCGAUGCCUUGUCUGAUGCAACAACAUCUACGAUGAAUCUGAAUGGAAUUAAAGAACAUUAUGGGGAUAGAAUGCCAAGAAUUCGUCAACGUUGCAAUGCCAAACAUUUUCAAUGCAAAAUUGUUCACUAUUCUUAUUUCUAUUGGAUGAUGUCAAGAGAGUGCAUCGGAAAUAAAUUUAUAAUUGAAAUUGAAAUCCUCUCAAAAUCUUAUAAAAAUUCAAUCUAUUUUUCUUGCGAAUUUACUUCAUUUUUCAUUAAAUUUUUUCAUGCGGGCCAUUCUUCGAUAGGAUUGCGGAAAGGGAUUUUGGAGUUGUAAGAGAUUCAUAACCCGAGCCAAAGGCAAGCGAUAUAAUCCUACGAGCUAUUACUUCUAAUAUUCAGAGCUAUUAUAAAAAUCGUCUGCUUUGAUUCGCUAGGCCUUCAUACAAAGCAUUUACUUUUUUUUGUAAUUAAUUUCGGUGUCAACAGUUUGUUUUGACACGUGACCGUCCACAUGAAAAGGAUGUGGUUAAAUUUCUGACAUUUUGAGCGCAUGAACUCUCAAAGUGGGAAAUUCGCGAAGCUAUAAAGGUGUAAGGUUGUAAACUUGUAGAACAAUGUUUUGAGAAAAUUGAAGUUAAAAUUAGCCAAUGGAUUUGUUGGAAUUCUACUUGGAAAUAAAAAGGUAUUUUAAUUUAAAUUGAUGCUGGGUAUCAUGAUACAUUAAACCGAAUACUUACUUUUUGAUAUUCUGAAUAAGACUUUUUUUCAAUAACAAAAGUAGAUACUUCCAAUAAGGAUUUACUUUCAAAAAUUAAAUUGUAAGAGCUUCUAACUGAAUCAUUGAAUCAUUUCAUAGGUACAUAUAGUUGUAAGUAAGGUAGUAUUUAAUAAGGACAAAUAUAUCAAGCGGAACUGAAGAAGUUAUCAAUUUAUUGUCAUCGCAAAUAAAAAGUGAGUAUCGAACCAUUUGA